rnacentral:lncRNA from 1 species
UUGCUGUUGUUGAACUUUCCUUACACAAAUUUUCUAUGGCCCCUAUUCAGGUGAAUAUUUCAGUUAAUGAAAAGUUUUGGCAAAUCUUCCUUUUAUCACAUGAUAUUUUGAUCCUUGUAAUUUUGAACACUUGGGUUUGUUGAUAUUUAUUUUAAUAAAAACUGCACGCCUGCAUACACCCACUCGUAAAUGUAAAUAAUGUGAUUAUCUCUCUCUCUGCCUUCUUUUUUGAUAGUACCAGAUAACAAGUGUCUCUAGGGAAGAAUUUUGUUUUUCCAUGUUUGUAAAAGGGCUGUGAGGCUUGUGCAUGCAAUGUUAAUAUAAAUAUAAGACAAUGAAUGGAUUUAUUGCCUGGGUGCAGUCUGCUGGUGUAUGUGACAAGGCAGACCGGACAGAUACCCUGGCAUCUAUGUUCGGUUUGCUAAAGAAAUAAUUUCUGAGUGGGAGUUCCCCAGCUGGUCCUUCCGUAGCUGAAGAAAGAUAAUACUUUAGAGCCAUUCCCUCUUCCAGUUUAGGCAUAGCCUCCUUCCUGAUUAGUCAGUUGUAAUCAGUGACAUCAUGGUAAUGGUGAGAGAAGAGCAUUUGUAUUUAAAAUGCCUAGAUGAACGAUGAAUAUAGAGAUUGGAUACUUCAAAAUCAAACUCUUCUCUAUAAGAUGUUGAUUCUUCUCACUUGAGAAGAAAGAACUACUGAGAUCUUAAAAAAGAAAAAAAAAAAAAAGGAAAAAAAAAGAAAAAAGAAAAAAAUGAAAAAGGACUGUGCUUCACAUAUCAAAGAAAAAUGGUACUGAGUGGCUUAAAAUAUUCCAUGCUCUCUUAAGUAAGCCUAUCUCUAAAAUGUCAAAGCGUGAAGUUCUCCAGGAACUCUUGCAUCAGCUUGAGGGAUAAGGUUAGGAAGAAAUAGCACCAUUUAAAUGGAAUCCCAUUUAUUUCCACACUUGGUACGUUUAUAUUACCAGUCUGCAGCAACAGUUGUAUUUGCAUAUGUAAGAUAACCUCCAAAUGGACAACAGAGUUCUUGCCAAAAAUCUUCUCUUCAAACACAAGUACAAUAAAAUCAUCUCUGCUGAUAGCUGAAUCACAGAAUCACAGAAUUGUAGGGGUUGGAAUGGACCUCCAGAGAUCAUCGAGUCCAACCCCCCUGCCAAAGCAGGUUCCCUACACCAGGUCACACAGGUAGGUGCCCAGGUGGGCUCUAAUAUUAUAUAUAAAUACAUAUAUAUGUCAAAAUAAUAAGAUUUAUCAAUUGUCCUUUAUCGUUCUGGUGAACAGCAACUGGUUGUUUCACUGAGAGCCAGGGCUGCUGACAGAAACUUGUGACCACUAGGCAUAACCUGCCCAAGUUGGUUUUUUACUCAAGCAAAAUUGGAAGACUCUAGAAAUUAAAUAAACUGGUUUUCUUAAGUUUGACUACA